rnacentral:tRNA from 1 species
CCGUAGCUCAGCUGGAUAGAGCGCUGCCCUCCGAAGGCAGAGGUCGAAGGUUCAAAUCCUUUCGGGUG